rnacentral:rRNA from 1 species
CCUACGGGAGGCAGCAGUGAGGAAUAUUGGUCAAUGGUCGGGAGACUGAACCAGCCAAGCCGCGUGAGGGAUGAAGGUACAGAGUAUCGUAAACCUCUUUUGUCAGGGAACAAAGGCGGGGACGUGUCCCCGGAUGAGUGUACCUGAAGAAACAGCAUCGGCUAACUCCGUGCCAGCAGCCGCGGUCAUACGGAGGAUGCGAGCGUUAUCCGGAUUUAUUGGGUUUAAAGGGUGCGCAGGCGGGCUGUUAAGUCAGCGGUCAAAGCCCGGGGCUCAACCCCGGCCCGCCGUUGAAACUGGCAGUCGCGAGUUGGAGAGAAGUAUGCGGAAUGCGCGGUGUAGCGGUGAAAUGCAUAGAUAUCGCGCAGAACUCCGAUUGCGAAGGCAGCAUGCCGGCUCCACACUGACGCUGAGGCACGAAAGCGUGGGUAUCGAACAGGAUUAGAUACCCCAGUAGUC